CGCGUCGGCGGACCUCUGCCUCCCCAACCAGCUGAGCGAGCCUCCCUUUGGUUUUUUCUGUGAAGUGAUUAUGUGGAGCUUGUGAGGAAAAAAGAUAGGACAAGAAGCCUAGGAGGUUGUCUACAGCCACUGCCCUGUGAGUGCUGCUGAACAUGUAAGUAUAGUCGGGAGAGUCAUGUACUCGCUCGAUGCCAUAGCUCACCCACCCCGAGUUGUGCCACCCUCUUCUAGCCGGAGGUGCCGCCGUCGCCGCUGUCGAGGACAUCUUAA